GGGAGGUGAUAUUCGCGGUAGCAAAAUUACGAAUGUCGUUUUAAAAAAUCCACUCUCUAUCUUUCUUUCUCUCUCUACAAUUUUAGCUUUUAUAUUAGAAAUCAUUCCAAAACUCAUGUUAUUGUAGCCAUUUGCAAAAAAAAAUGAGUCCAUCGAAUGAGGAUCGAGAUACGGAAUCCAAUGAGAUAAAAUUUGUUCGUUUUUGUUCUUUAAAUCGCGAAAACGCGACCCACGACCAAUUUGGACGCCGAAAAAUACGUUUCACGCCCAAACUGGGCGCAAAAAAACUCGAUUCACGCCCGGUUUGGGCGCGCGACACAGCUUUCCGCGCCCGGUUUGGGUGCGAGUGCUGACUGUGUUUUAAUAAAAAAAAACAAAAUUGUGUUGCAACAAGGAAUCGAACCCGGGUUGUUGCAAUACAAAUGCCUGCUUGCUUAACCAAGUCGGCUACUGCCAUUUUGAUAAAUGAAAAUUCUUAUUCAAAUAUAAUUAUUUAUUUCAUUAUACUGGGCAAAAAAUUAAUAAAUACGCGUUACUACAAAGACUCGAACACGGGCCUAUUGUUUGUUAGACAAAAGACCUAACCAACUAGGCUACAGCAUGUUUAUGAAGCAGUACUUAUUUAAAUAUAAUUAUUCAUUUCAGGUAUACUGGGCAAAAAAAAAAAAUUGAACCGGACGACCGGUCCAGAACCAACGUCUGGACCGGACGCCCGAAUUAAUUUUCCACGCCCAAAAUGGGCGUGAGAAAGUUGUUUCCACGCCUAAAUCAGGCGUGGAAACUGCUUUUCCACACCCAUUUUGUGCGUGAAAAAAUCGAAAACCCAACACUAAAAAUAGCCAUAAAUCGCGAUUUUCAGGGGAUUUUCACAUGAUUAACCACAAAUUCAAUAUAUAUAACUAUUUUAGAUGAUUAAUUACCUUUCAAAUUGACGAAAUUUUCUGAUUUUGGAGGAUUUGUGAGAGAGGUUGAGGGUUUUUGUGAAUUUUGGGACUUUUGGGGAUUUUGGGGUUUGGGUGGAAUUGAGGAUUUUUAGAGAGAGAAAGAAAAGACUGUUGUGAACGACAUUCGUAAUUUUGCUGCCGCGUAAAUCAUUUCAG
rnacentral:lncRNA from 1 species